GUGAGGAAUAUUGGUCAAUGGACGGAAGUCUGAACCAGCCAUGCCGCGUGCAGGAAUAAGGUCCUAUGGAUUGUAAACUGCUUUUAUUCGGGAAUAAACCUCUUUACGUGUAGGGAGCUGAAGGUACCGAAGGAUUAAGCACCGGCUAACUCCGUGCCAGCAGCCGCGGUAAUACGGAGGAUCCAAGCGUUAUCCGGAAUCAUUGGGUUGAAAGGGUCCGUAGGCGGGUCUGUAAGUCAGUGGUGAAAUCUCCCGGCUCAACAGGGAAACUGACAUUGAUACUGCAGGUCUUGAAUGUUUGUGAAGUAACUAGAAUAUGUAGUGUAGCGGUGAAAUGCUUAGAUAUUACAUGGAAUACCGAUUGCGAAGGCAGGUUACUAACAAAUGAUUGACGCUGAUGGACGAAAGCGUGGGGAGCGAACAGGAUUAGAAACCCCGGUAGUCC
rnacentral:rRNA from 1 species